UUACUACGUGGAAAAGAAUCACUUCAUAGAAAUGAAAAAUGUAUUUCUUGAAAUGAAUAUAAAUAAAAAAAAGCUUCAUAAUUUAUAGAGGAGUGAGACAAGGAUGCUUAAAUGUUAUCAAUUAACUGUAGUCAUCCGUACACAAAUGUUACAAGUUCACCAUGUUCAUCCGUAUACAAAACACGUACGGAUAUUGGCAAACAAUGCAAUUAACAAUGGAAUACUAUUUUUAGAAAUAUAAAUCCCCUCCUUGAAUCUUUCCGUAAUGAAUCAGUACUGAGCGGGUUCGAAAACGAGAAUCGAAGUAAUGCAACUCUGACUCCCGGCCGUAGAUCCCGUAGUGUACCUCUGUGUGUUGUGGAUUCUCUCUCGAGCAUUUUAUUAUGGCCAAGGAUGCUGUAGUGAAGAGGAAUUGUAAUCAAAAUGUGGGGCGCCGAUUCUGGGGUAUUCAUUUGCCUGCAAGGCGAUGCCACACCGUCGAUUCUCAGCCGAAACGUAAACAAAACACGAACUCACUCUGUGUCCGUGCCGCCCUGUGAUGGCUUCUCGACUCUGAUGGUGUGUGUUCAGGUGUGCAGCAAGGAAACCCGUACACUUCUGGAGGGUUUAAUGGUUGGCCCUAUCGUUGGAGGAUCGGACGCGAUAUUUCGGAGUGAGUGAUCCACGGAGAGAGCAGAGUGGCAUGGUGGCAUCAUAUAUCCUUGUCGGAAUAACUUUUUACUACAAAAUAUUUCCCGCGCACUUUGUCAUCUACAUACUUACUACAUUCCAUAUUUUUCAUGUAGCCUCUCCCCUACUCUGGUCACAUCUCAUAAUUUUGAAUUUUCUUUGGACUAUUAUUCUUUGUUACUGGCAUCUAUAGUAGAUCUUUUUAUAGCAUUU